rnacentral:tRNA from 1 species
GGGGGUAAAGGUCAAGAGGUAGAGCAUAUGCUUAGUAUGCAUGAGAUCCUGGGUUCAAUCCCCAGCACCUCCU